rnacentral:rRNA from 1 species
UGGAGUAUGUGGUUUAAUUCGAUGCAACGCGAAGACCUACUGGUCUUGACAUCCCGGAGACCCUUAGGAAACUAGGGGGUGCUUCCAUCUGGAAGAAUCUGGAGACAGGUGCUGCAUGGCUGUCGUCAGCUCGUGUCGUGAGAUGUUGGGUUAAGUCCCGCAACGAGCGCAACCCUUGCCUUUAGUUGCCAGCAGUUCGGCUGGGCACUCUAAAGGGACUGCCGGUGUUAAACCGGAGGAAGGUGGGGAUGACGUCAAGUCCUCAUGGCCUUUAUGACCAGGGCUACACACGUACUACAAUGGCCGAUACAAAGGGCAGCGACACUGCGAGGUGAAGCCAAUCCCGUAAAAUCGGUCUCAGUCCGGAUUGGAGUCUGCAACUCGACUCCAUGAAGUUGGAAUCGCUAGUAAUCGUGGAUCAGCAUGCCACGGUGAAUACGUUCCCGGGCCUU